CUGCCAGACUCCUACGGGAGGCAGCAGUGGGGAAUAUUGCACAAUGGGGGAAACCCUGAUGCAGCGACGCCGCGUGAGCGAUGAAGUAUUUCGGUAUGUAAAGCUCUAUCAGCAGGGAAGAAAAUGACGGUACCUGACUAAGAAGCCCCGGCUAACUACGUGCCAGCAGCCGCGGUAAUACGUAGGGGGCAAGCGUUAUCCGGAUUUACUGGGUGUAAAGGGAGCGUAGACGGCUGUGCAAGCCAGAUGUGAAAGCCCGGGGCUCAACCCCGGGACUGCAUUUGGAACUGUGUGGCUGGAGUGUCGGAGAGGCAGGCGGAAUUCCUAGUGUAGCGGUGAAAUGCGUAGAUAUUAGGAGGAACACCAGUGGCGAAGGCGGCUUACUGGACUGUAACUGACGUUGAGGCUCGAAAGCGUGGGGAGCAAACAGGAUUAGAUACCCGCGUAGA
rnacentral:rRNA from 1 species